AUUGAACGCUGGCGGCAGGCCUAACACAUGCAAGUCGAGCGGAUGAAGGGAGCUUGCUCCUGGAUUCAGCGGCGGACGGGCGAGUAAUGCCUAGGAAUCUGCCUGGUAGUGGGGGAUAACGUCCGGAAACGGGCGCUAAUACCGCAUACGUCCUGAGGGAGAAAGUGGGGGAUCUUCGGACCUCACGCUAUCAGAUGAGCCUAGGUCGGAUUAGCUAGUUGGUGAGGUAAAGGCCUACCAAGGCGACGAUCCGUAACUGGUCUGAGAGGAUGAUCAGUCACACUGGAACUGAGACACGGUCCAGACUCCUACGGGAGGCAGCAGUGGGGAAUAUUGGACAAUGGGCGAAAGCCUGAUCCAGCCAUGCCGCGUGUGUGAAGAAGGUCUUCGGAUUGUAAAGCACUUUUAGUUGGGAGGAAGGGCAGUAUGUUAAUACCUGGCUGUUUUGACGUUACCAACAGAAUAAGCACCGGCUAACUUCGUG
rnacentral:rRNA from 1 species